GACCCUCCAUGGGGACCCAAACCUCAGGGUGCUGACUGCCUUACAACAACCAACGUCGAGUAAAUUUAGGGUAUCAUCAAUGGUACGAUUCAAACCCAGGACCAUGUCUGAGAUCACACUUUCCAGUGUUCUCCCUGAUCAACUAGGCUACCCUGGCAAGUUGUUUCUUUGCAUUAUCUUAAAAUAACUCUUUGUAUAUUCUAUUUAAUCUGCAGUUAGAUACUGCCCAUAAAUUGCUUAAUAUUUUGAGUCCUUAUCCAGAUGCCAUGCUUUUUGAUGCUUGAGGUCUUGCAUUUGCAGAUUAAGUUCCCUUCCACCAGGGAAUAAAAGGCAAAUUGAAAGGAUGAAUUGUAGGAGACAUGGGUGCUGCAAAGGGACGGGUUCUCGUUAGCAACAGUAAAGUAGGGUUGGAAGGUGGACGUGGGGGAGACCGGAGUGAGAAGAUAUCUGCUAAAGAUUGCAAAUAAAUUGACGGCUUUCACAGUUUUUUGCACAAUAGAAGAUAUCUGAGCAUUGGGACAGCAGCCUCUAGGUUUUCCCUACCCUUUGCUUGCUUGGCCUGUUGUUUGCCAACCAUACGUGCCUCUUUCUGUGAGCUGAUCCUGUAUUGAUUGGUGCCAAGUCUUGGCUCUUCAACCUAUGACAAAUGGCCUUUCCUCUGUAAACACGUCAUCCAUUUAAAAAAUAAGUCCUAAAAACGCUGUCAAGAUUUGGUUAUAACAUGUGAAGCAUCGAUUUGGUCAUAACGCUGGCAUUGCAUUUAGAUCUAUUGAUUUUAAAUCUCAUCAGAGCCUGGUGAUAUUUCAAUUUA